UCUGCCGUCGAGUACCGAGCCAAACGGCUCCUUUCAUGCCUUUCUUUAUUUUUUAUUUUUUUCAAACCAAUCCGUGUUGAGAAAUAAAAUAAUAAUGCCGCAUCCCCAAGUCCCCAUGUCUAGUACCCCGAAAACCUUCAACAUCUCUCUCUUUAAUAGCAGAAAACAGUAUCAGAUCUCAAAAACUCAAAAGCCUUCUCUCCAUUUUCCUCUGACCCCAUUUUUCUCCGCUCUCUCUCUCUCUUCUUCAUUGCUCCAGAAAAUGCAAAAACCUUCUCCCUUCCAUUUAGUUUCUUUUUCGCAUUUCUCUCGGAUCCCAUGUAUGGUGGAGCAACACAGGCAUGUCUGAUUCCUCUAUAAUAGUGCUCUGGUCCGCAACACCGAGACCCAAACGAACAGAUCUAAAACAGUUCGUCCAAAAAUCCUCCCUUUGCAGUUUCUCUCACAGAUUGAUGCAUCCGUAGCCUUCCAUAACCCAACAACGCGCACCUCCGUGAGUACCCCGCCGUGGUGGAAAAUCGGAAAAACGGAAACCCAAAGUGGGAAGAGCCCUAAUGGUUUCAAAUCCGAGACAACAACACAAGAACAAAACGCUGAAUCGCCGUCUCAACUCAAAAUCAUGUCUCCCAAGCCUCAAGCCAUCAGAAAUUUUAGUACCAUUUUGCACAUGCCACGUAGGUGUCCGAGAUGCACAAAGAGACAGAGAAGA